rnacentral:rRNA from 1 species
AUUGAACGCUGGCGGCAUGCCUUACACAUGCAAGUCGAACGGCAGCACGGGUGCUUGCACCUGUUGGCGAGUGGCGAACGGGUGAGUAAUACAUCGGAACAUGUCCUGUAGUGGGGGAUAGCCCGGCGAAAGCCGGAUUAGUACCGCAUACGAUCCACGGAUGAAAGCGGGGGACCUUCGGGCCUCGCGCUAUAGGGUUGGCCGAUGGCUGAUUAGCUAGUUGGUGGGGUAAAGGCCUACCACGGCGACGAUCAGUAGCUGGUCUGAGAGGACGACCAGCCACACUGGGACUGAGACACGGCCCAGACUCCUACGGGAGGCAGCAGUGGGGAAUUUUGGACAAUGGGCGAAAGCCUGAUCCAGCAAUGCCGCGUGUGUGAAGAAGGCCUUCGGGUUGUAAAGCACUUUUGUCCGGAAAGAAAUCCUUGACUCUAAUACAGUCGGGGGAUGACGGUACCGGAAGAAUAAGCACCGGCUAACUACGUG